rnacentral:rRNA from 1 species
AACGAACGCUGGCGGCGUGCUUAACACAUGCAAGUCGAGUGCGCGGUUGUAGCAAUACAACUGGCGCACGGCGCACGGGUGCGUAACACGUGGGUAACCUGCCCUUUGGUGGGGAAUAACUCCGCGAAAGCGGAGCUAAUUCCGCAUAAGAUCCGCAAGGAUGAAAGCCGCAAGGCGCCGAAGGAGGGGCCCGCGCCCGAUUAGCUAGUUGGUGAGGUAAUGGCUCACCAAGGCUUUGAUCGGUAGCUGGUCUGAGAGGAUGAUCAGCCACACUGGAACUGAGACACGGUCCAGACUCCUACGGGAGGCAGCAGUGGGGAAUCUUGCACAAUGGGCGAAAGCCUGAUGCAGCGACGCCGCGUGGGGGAUGAAGCAUUUCGGUGUGUAAACCCCUUUCGAUCCGGACGAAACCCCGCAAGGGAUUGACGGUACGGAUAUAAGAAGCCCCGGCUAACUACGUGCCAGCAGCCGCGGUAAGACGUAGGGGGCCAGCGUUGUUCGGAAUUACUGGGUGUAAAGGGUUCGUAGGCGGUGCGGCAAGUUGGGAGUGAAAUCUCUGGGCUUAACCCAGAGGCUGCUUCCAAAACUGCUGUGCUUGAGUGUGGGAGAGGCGCGUGGAAUUGCAGGUGUAGCGGUGAAAUGCGUAGAUGUCUGCAGGAACACCCGUGGCGAAAGCGGCGCGCUGGACCACUACUGACGCUGAGGAACGAAAGCUAGGGGAGCAAACAGGAUUAGAUACCCUGGUAGUCCUAGCCCUAAACGAUCAGGACUUGGGGUGCCACCCGUUCGGGUGUCGUCCCGGAGCUAACGCGUUAAGUCCUGCACCUGGGGAGUACGGUCGCAAGACUG